rnacentral:misc_RNA from 1 species
UGUGGAAUUGCUGACCUCGAGAACCUGGAUCUGGACACUCCACCAGAUUUACAGCUUGCUGAUCUGCAGUUCAGUUCUCAGGAUCUGCAGUUUAGUUCUCAGGAUAGUAUUCUAGGUUGGAUUGAUCGAUUAUGAAGAUAGUAAGAUACAUAAUUGGGCAAAGCCUCCCAGGAAUGACAUGGCUUACCACUUUUUGUGCCGUCCCAGUUUCUGAUUGAAGCUGUCUGGUUUUACCAGCAUUUUCUUCAGCAGCGCAGAGUCGGUUUCAUUGCUUUAUCGGCUUCUCCUGUUUCUGGUUCGUGUAGUGCAUGGAAGUCUACCAAGCUCAAAAUAUGAGUCUUUUUGGGGUUGUUAAAGACUGGUUUAGUUGUGUGUGGUAGAAAUGGCUCAAAUAGUUUUUGUGCUCUGGUCUCUAUCUACUUGUUGUGAAGUGUAUUGAUGUUAUGCUUGCUUGAUGAUGGAUGUUUUCAAGGGACCUGUUGGCCUAGAUAAAUUUGUUGCUUCCAUGGCUGUUGAAGCAGAUGUCAUUCGGUACUCAGAAUUUAAAAACCAUGGAAGCAACAAUUGAAUCUUGGGCAACAUCUCCAAGAUGGUUCUAGCUAGGAUCUAGAUUUCCUUAGUGAAACUUGAAUAUGUUUUUGUGUAAUUGAAGGACAACUUUCAUGCUUGCAUGAAAGUUGUCCUUCAAUUACACAAAAACAUAUUCAAGUUUCACUAAGGAAA